rnacentral:rRNA from 1 species
UACGGAGGGGGCUAGCGUUGUUCGGAAUUACUGGGCGUAAAGCGUACGUAGGCGGCUUUGUAAGUUAGAGGUGAAAGCCCAGGGCUUAACCCUGGAAUUGCCUUUAAGACUGCAUCGCUAGAAUUGUGGAGAGGUAAGUGGAAUUCCGAGUGUAGAGGUGAAAUUCGUAGAUAUUCGGAAGAACACCAGUGGCGAAGGCGACUUACUGGACACAUAUUGACGCUGAGGUGCGAAAGCGUGGGGAGCAAACAGG